UGAGACUUUGAUCCAGGAUCUUCCAACGAUUCUGAAAGCUACGAAGGAUCGCUACCGGAAUGGGAAGAGCCGAAUUUUCCAGUACCACGGACAGCUCAGGAGGUGCAGACCCAGCUGACGCAUUCCCUGGGGACUGGCGAAGAGUCCAUUAGGAGGCCCAAACUAAGCCGA